rnacentral:sRNA from 1 species
GCCAGGUGUUGUGGCGGAUGCCUGUGGUCCCAGUUACUUGGGAGGCAUAGGCAGGAGACUCACUUGAGCCCAGGAGUUGGAGGUUGCUGUGAGCUGUGAUGCCACAGCACUCUACCCAGGGGGACAGCUUGAGGUUCUGUCUCAGAAAAAAAGAGACAAUCUCACUUUCGCCCUCGAUAGAGUGCCAUGGCAUCACAGCUCACAGCAACCUCCAACUCCUGGGCUUAGGUGAUUCUUUUGCC